AAAUUGAAGAGUUUGAUCAUGGCUCAGAUUGAACGCUGGCGGCAGGCCUAACACAUGCAAGUCGAACGGUAACAGGAAGCAGCUUGCUGCUUCGCUGACGAGUGGCGGACGGGUGAGUAAUGUCUGGGAAACUGCCUGAUGGAGGGGGAUAACUACUGGAAACGGUGGCUAAUACCGCAUAACGUCGCAAGACCAAAGAGGGGGACCUUCGGGCCUCUUGCCAUCAGAUGUGCCCAGAUGGGAUUAGCUAGUUGGUGAGGUAACG
rnacentral:rRNA from 1 species